CUACUCGUUUCUUACUUUCAGAGCAGAUCAGGCCAAAGUUAUUUGGCAUAGCCUUUGUCUUGACAAACUCACUGUUGACCCUGUGCUGCGCAAUACCUUAAAUAAAUGCGAAAAAAACCCAUCGUGCCCCUUUGAACCAAAAACCCAGUCCAGGUUCCUCUGAACCGAUAAAAAUAAACACAAAGUACUGAAUCAAAUGAAAGAAGCCGUAAAAAGAGUAAAUUUAGAGUGCCUGGCAAUGGCCCAGCGCUCAGCCACCUAUUUAUACAACAAAGCCACUUUUUCCUUGUACAUAUUGUUUGCUUUUUAAACUGAUAUAACUAAUGGAGCUGCAUAACACACGGGGUCCUGGCCAUGCCAUGUGCACACACCAGCUCUCUUUGAUUGCGGGCAGGAGAUGUAAUUAUCACCCAGAAUCACAGAAUACCCAGAGAUGGAAGGGACUGACAAGGAUCGAGUCCAAUUCCUGGCCCUGCACAAGACACCCCAACAAUCCCACCAUGUACCUCAGAGCCUUGUCCUAAUGAUGACCUGACCUGCAAGCCUGAAUACAUAAAAAGAUGCUAGAGCUGCAAACUGCACUGUAAUUCCAGUUCUCCAAUAGGUUUCUUUAGGGAGGCCUUGGCUUUCAAGCAUUCAGGCUGAGAACAAGCAGACCACUGAACACACUGUGUGUGCCCUGGCAUCCUGCUACAUCAUGGGAGAAGUUUUUCAGUUGCUGUACAAACGCUGCAUGUGCUAGUUCCAAAUUGGAGUUAUUUAACAUGAGUGUCUCCCCACUGGAAACAGGAAAAAUGACCAAAAGAGGUGCUGAGGAGGGGCAGAGAGCCGAGCGUUCUGGAGCGCCCUCUGCUCCCGCCACCUCCCUCAGGAACCCACCUCAGCACCCCCUCAGUGCGGGGGGAGCUCUGAUCGGGGGCCUGAGCUUUGAUGUUUUUAAUUUCCUCACAGCAACAGAGCGCUAGGGCAAACUACGAAAGAGGAAAGUACUACUGCUUCGGAAAAGGCAAAAAAAGCUGCCGCACACGCCGGGGGGCGGCGCCAGACCACCAAACCCCCUCACGGCACCAGCUCGCACGCCCAACGCCCCUCAGCCCGCCCACUGCCCUCACGCGGCCCCGCCCACCCUCGCGCACAGCAGCACCCGGAUCAGCACGUGACCACAGAUUCCAACCCUAUUGGAGAACACGAGGAGGGCGGGGCCGGCCGCUCUAUAAAGGGGAACGCGGGGGGUGCUCGGCCUCUUUUCCUCCUGCGGCAGAGGAGGGCCCGUGCGGAGAUCGGGAUCGGCGGUAAAUAAAGCUGUGUGCCCCAAAUCGUGUCCGGCUGGUUCUUCCCGCGCGGUCCCGCACUGCUUUUGACCCGGCGGUGCCCGCUCGGCGCCGCCGGCCAAGCAGCGGUGCUACAGCGAAGGCUUGUUCAUAACUGGGGCCGCUCGGCAUCUCCCGGGCGGCGCUUUUAAAAACAAGUGACAUUUGCGUGCCAGAGCCGCCCUGUGGCACCCCUGCGGGGACACACGGCUCGGGGAGGGGUGUACAAACCCUGCUGUCCUUCUGGAUGGAGCCCAUUCCCUGCUGGAGAGGGCGGUGCCAGCGAAAGCAGAUCCGGGUCACUGUCACCGUUCAAGGCGACUUCACCCAAAAUAGCCCGGGGCAGGAAUUUUUUCCUGUGGUAGUUCAGGUUUUAGCUGGAAAAGGGACUUGGAAAAACUAACCUGAGUCCUGGGAUGCCUGCCAAGCUGUUGCAGGAGUAAAGCAGCUGGGUGAAUAUGCAGGAGACACACAUCCAGGGCUGGGGGUCCUUCAUGCACACAGAAAAAAACCCAACUUGAAAUAAAAUAGGAAUUUGACUCCUGCAGCUAUUUAAAGGGCCUGUGUUUUUUCCAUCUGUUAAUACUGGUGCUAAGGGUAUCCUGCAGACAGUGGAGAUGUACAGUGUUUUCUGUAAAUAUAUAACUACUCUGAUGUCACGAUUGGACACAAAAUAGUAGCAGCAGAGUCCAGGCAGACUGUAAAAGAUGAUCAAGCUCACAGAGGCUCUUGAAGUUACCAGAAUUGCAGACCCCCUCCUUAAUUGCUGGUAAUCCUUUCAAGGCUUUCACAACUAUGAUUUUAAAGCACGUGCCUCAUACGGUAACUAACUACUGUGAUUAAAUUUAGUUUAAGGACAGUAAAAUUAAAUUUAGGCUUUUAAAGCUAUAACAGUCUCAGCACUGGUUACCCCUGGAAUCAUGAUAAUCACCAAGUACAUGUAUAUAUAAAAAAGUCUGCAAGCACAUGGCACACUCAGCAAACUGCCUUUCUAAUGAAGUUUUUGGAACAACUUGCACAGGAUCAUGGCUAAGUGCUGUAGAAAUAAAAUUUAACUGAAUUGUUGGACAUGGGAUAAAUUUAUUUAAUAAAACAAAGCAAGCAGAUUGUAGUUACCCACAGUUUAUGAAGUGCAAUAUGACAAUCUCGUGUAAUAAGUCUAAAUCUGUUUACACAUUAGUGCAUCUAGUCCUUUGACUUAAGUUAUUGCACAUAGAAAUUAACUCAUAGAAAAGACCUGUGUAACAAGACAUGCAGACUUCAUGAAAGGCAAAUAAUGCCUACAGAAUCAGCAAACCCCAGAAUAUACACAGCCUGGAAUGGUCAAGGAGGAGUUCAGGUAACAAAUAUAACCUACUAAUAUUUCAAUUAAAGGUAACCAAAAUAGGUGUUCAAAUAUAGAAUUAAUUUUAAAUAUAUUAAAUGCUAAUUUUCUUUUUUUUUAUGUUUCAGGCAAGGUGCUGUUUAAAAAACCUUCAAUAUAAUAGCUUCAUUUAGAGAUGGUAAAUCAUCAAGUUAUACAUGGAAAUUUUGAUUUACAUCAAAUGUGACAACACAACGUACAAAAAAGUUCUUAAAAAAUUCUAAAAAAAAAAAAAGAAAA